UGCAGAGAACUUUCCAGAGAUGGAUUGGUGCCUUCGGGAACUCUGACACAGGUGCUGCAUGGCUGUCGUCAGCUCGUGUCGUGAGAUGUUGGGUUAAGUCCCGUAACCGAGCGCAACCCUUGUCCUUAGUUACCAGCACGUUAUGGUGGGCACUCUAAGGAGACUGCCGGUGACAAACCGGAGGAAGGUGGGGGAUGACGUCAAGUCAUCAUGGCCCUUACGGCCUGGGCUACACACGUGCUACAAUGGUCGGUACAAAGGGUUGCCAAGCCGCGAGGUGGAGCUAAUCCCAUAAAACCGAAUCGUAGUCCGGAUCGCAGUCUGCAACUCGACUGCGUGAAGUCGGAAUCGCUAGUAAUCGUGGAUCAGCAUGCCACGGUGAAUACGUUCCCGGGCCUU
rnacentral:rRNA from 1 species